rnacentral:rRNA from 1 species
CCUACGGGAGGCAGCAGUGGGGAAUAUUGCACAAUGGGGGAAACCCUGAUGCAGCGACGCCGCGUGAGUGAAGAAGUAUUUCGGUAUGUAAAGCUCUAUCAGCAGGGAAGAAAAUGACGGUACCUGAUUAAGAAGCCCCGGCUAAAUACGUGCCAGCAGCCGCGGUAAUACGUAGGGGGCCAGCGUUAUCCGGAUUUACUGGGUGUAAAGGGAGCGUAGACGGCAGCACAAGGCUGGAGGGAAAUGCCUGGGCUUAACCCCGGAACUGCUUUGGAAACUGUGCAGCUAGAGUGCAGGAGAGGUAAGGGGAAUUCCUAGUGUAGCGGUGAAAUGCGUAGAUAUUAGGAGGAACACCAGUGGCGAAGGCGGCUUACUGGACUGUAACUGACGUUGAGGCUCGAAAGCGUGGGGAGCAAACAGGAUUAGAUACCCCAGUAGUC